rnacentral:rRNA from 1 species
AACGAACGCUGGCGGCAUGCCUAACACAUGCAAGUCGAACGAGACCUUCGGGUCUAGUGGCGCACGGGUUCGUAACGCGUCGGAACCUGCCCUUAUGUUCGGACUAACUCCCCGACAGGGGUACUAAUACCGGAUAAUGUCUUCUGACCAAUGAUUUAUCGCCUCUGGUUGGGCCCGCGUUGAAUUAGCUAGUUGGUUUGGUAAAAGCCUACCACGGCGAAAAUGCAUAGCUGGUAUGAGAGGAAGAGCAGCCACACUGAGACUGAGACACGGCCCAGACUCAUACGCGAGGGAGGAGUGGGGAAUAGUGGAAAAUGGGCGGAAGCAUGAGGCAGCAAUGACGGGAGAGUGAUGAAGGUAGUAGGGUAGUAAAGUUUUUUUACCCGGGAAGAUAAUGACAGUACCGGGAGAAUAAGCUCCGGCUAACUACGUG